AUUGAACGCUGGCGGCAUGCCUUACACAUGCAAGUCGAACGGCAGCACGGGAGCAAUCCUGGUGGCGAGUGGCGAACGGGUGAGUAAUAUAUCGGAACGUGCCCAGUCGUGGGGAUAACGUAGCGAAAGCUACGCUAAUACCGCAUACGAUCUAUGGAUGAAAGCGGGGGAUCGCAAGACCUCGCGCGAUUGGAGCGGCCGAUAUCAGAUUAGGUAGUUGGUGAGGUAAAGGCUCACCAAGCCGACGAUCUGUAGCUGGUCUGAGAGGACGACCAGCCACACUGGGACUGAGACACGGCCCAGACUCCUACGGGAGGCAGCAGUGGGGAAUUUUGGACAAUGGGCGCAAGCCUGAUCCAGCAAUGCCGCGUGCAGGAUGAAGGCCUCGGUUGUAACGU
rnacentral:rRNA from 1 species